AAUGUUAUGUCUGAAAAAGAAGUAAAUUGUAAAUUUACUCAUAAAAAUAUAAAAAUUUUUUAACAUUA
rnacentral:tRNA from 1 species